UGCCUUAUAGUGUAACGGCAACACGUCUGGCUCUGGACCAGAAGACUCUAGGUUCGAAUCCUAGUAAGGCAG
rnacentral:tRNA from 1 species